GCACCCGUGGCCUAAUGGACAAGGCGUCUGACUUCUAAUCAGGCGAUUGUGGGUUUGAGUGCCACCAGUUUUU
rnacentral:tRNA from 1 species